CCCAGACUCCUACGGGAGGCAGCAGUGGGGAAUAUUGCACAAUGGGGGAAACCCUGAUGCAGCGACGCCGCGUGAGCGAUGAAGUAUUUCGGUAUGUAAAGCUCUAUCAGCAGGGAAGAAAAUGACGGUACCUGACUAAGAAGCCCCGGCUAACUACGUGCCAGCAGCCGCGGUAAUACGUAGGGGGCAAGCGUUAUCCGGAUUUACUGGGUGUAAAGGGAGCGUAGACGGUCCUGCGAGCCAGAUGUGAAAGCCCGGGGCUCAACCCCGGGACUGCAUUUGGAACUGUAAGGCUAGAGUGUCGGAGAGGCAGGCGGAAUUCCUAGUGUAGCGGUGAAAUGCGUAGAUAUUAGGAGGAACACCAGUGGCGAAGGCGGUCUGCUGGACAGCAACUGACGCUGAGGCGCGAAAGCGUGGGGAGCAAACAGGAUUAGAUACCCGCGUAU
rnacentral:rRNA from 1 species